rnacentral:lncRNA from 1 species
AAAAAAAAAAAAAAAAAAGAAGUUUGGAGUGUCUGCUCCAUGUUGGAUAAAAAAACUAAAUAAAAUCCUGGGAAAUGUGAAGAAUGCCAAAGAAAUGGAAAAAUGAGGACAGAAAAGAAUACUACUGCCUGCAGCACUGAAGUUGUUGAAUUGACAGAAGUUGGAAUUAGACUUCUAAGUUAAUGAGAGAUAAAGUAGAGAUAUGUAACAGAGACAGCUAAGUGCUUUGUUGAGUUCAGCCCCAGCCAUGGAAAC